UACGUAGGGGGCAAGCGUUAUCCGGAUUUACUGGGUGUAAAGGGAGCGCAGACGGCAGUGCAAGUCUGAAGUGAAAGGUCGGGGCUCAACCCCGGAACUGCUUUGGAAACUGUGCAGCUGGAGUAUCGGAGGGGUAAGCGGAAUUCCUGGUGUAGCGGUGAAAUGCGUAGACAUCAGGAGGAACACCGGUGGCGAAGGCGGCUUACUGGACGAUAACUGACGUUGAGGCUCGAAAGCGUGGGGGGCAAAC
rnacentral:rRNA from 1 species